GGGCGUUAAGUUGCAGGGUAUAGACCCGAAACCCGGUGAUCUAGCCAUGGGCAGGUUGAAGGUUGGGUAACACUAACUGGAGGACCGAACCGACUAAUGUUGAAAAAUUAGCGGAUGACCUGUGGCUGGGGGUGAAAGGCCAAUCAAACCGGGAGAUAGCUGGUUCUCCCCGAAAGCUAUUUAGGUAGCGCCUCGUGAAUUCAUCUCCGGGGGUAGAGCACUGUUUCGGCUAGGGGGCCAUCCCGGCUUACCAACCCGAUGCAAACUGCGAAUACCGGAGAAUGUUAUCACGGGAGACACACGGCGGGUGCUAACGUCCGUCGUGAAGAGGGAAACAACCCAGACCGCCAGCUAAGGUCCCAAAGUCAUGGUUAAGUGGGAAACGAUGUGGGAAGGCCCAGACAGCCAGGAUGUUGGCUUAGAAGCAGCCAUCAUUUAAAGAAAGCGUAAUAGCUCACUGGUCGAGUCGGCCUGCGCGGAAGAUGUAACGGGGCUAAACCAUGCACCGAAGCUGCGGCAGCGAACGUAUCACUUAAAGCGAUUCAGCGGGUUACGAUUGACGGAGCGAAGCGACGUCAAAGCGUAUACAAAGUCGAGUCGGUUUAAGGAUACGUUCGUUGGGUAGGGGAGCGUUCUGUAAGCCUGUGAAGGUGGCCUGUGAGGGUUGCUGGAGGUAUCAGAAGUGCGAAUGCUGACAUAAGUAACGAUAAAGCGGGUGAAAAGCCCGCUCGCCGGAAGACCAAGGGUUCCUGUCCAACGUUAAUCGGGGCAGGGUGAGUCGACCCCUAAGGCGAGGCCGAAAGGCGUAGUCGAUGGGAAACGGGUUAAUAUUCCCGUACUUGGUGUUACUGCGAAGGGGGGACGGAGAAGGCUAUGUUGGCCGGGCGACGGUUGUCCCGGUUUAAGCGUGUAGGCUGGUUUUCCAGGCAAAUCCGGAAAAUCAAGGCUGAGGCGUGACGACGAGGCACUACGGUGCUGAAGCAACAAAUGCCCUGCUUCCAGGAAAAGCCUCUAAGCAUCAGGUAACAUCAAAUCGUACCCCAAACCGACACAGGUGGUCAGGUAGAGAAUACCAAGGCGCUUGAGAGAACUCGGGUGAAGGAACUAGGCAAAAUGGUGCCGUAACUUCGGGAGAAGGCACGCUGACACGUAGGUGAAGUGAUUUACUCAUGGAGCUGAAGUCAGUCGAAGAUACCAGCUGGCUGCAACUGUUUAUUAAAAACACAGCACUGUGCAAACACGAAAGUGGACGUAUACGGUGUGACGCCUGCCCGGUGCCGGAAGGUUAAUUGAUGGGGUCAGCGCAAGCGAAGCUCCUGAUCGAAGCCCCGGUAAACGGCGGCCGUAACUAUAACGGUCCUAAGGUAGCGAAAUUCCUUGUCGGGUAAGUUCCGACCUGCACGAAUGGCGUAAUGAUGGCCAGGCUGUCUCCACCCGAGACUCAGUGAAAUUGAACUCGCUGUGAAGAUGCAGUGUACCCGCGGCAAGACGGAAAGACCCCGUGAACCUUUACUAUAGCUUGACACUGAACAUUGAGCCUUGAUGUGUAGGAUAGGUGGGAGGCUUUGAAGUGUGGACGCCAGUCUGCAUGGAGCCGACCUUGAAAUACCACCCUUUAAUGUUUGAUGUUCUAACGUGGACCCGUGAUCCGGGUUGCGGACAGUGUCUGGUGGGUAGUUUGACUGGGGCGGUCUCCUCCUAAAGAGUAACGGAGGAGCACGAAGGUUGGCUAAUCCUGGUCGGACAUCAGGAGGUUAGUGCAAUGGCAUAAGC
rnacentral:rRNA from 1 species